GAUGAACGCUGGCGGCGUGCCUAAUACAUGCAAGUCGAGCGAACGGACGAGAAGCUUGCUUCUCUGAUGUUAGCGGCGGACGGGUGAGUAACACGUGGAUAACCUACCUAUAAGACUGGGAUAACUUCGGGAAACCGGAGCUAAUACCGGAUAAUAUUUUGAACCGCAUGGUUCAAAAGUGAAAGACGGUCUUGCUGUCACUUAUAGAUGGAUCCGCGCUGCAUUAGCUAGUUGGUAAGGUAACGGCUUACCAAGGCAACGAUGCAUAGCCGACCUGAGAGGGGGGUAGGCCACACGGGAACUGAGACGCGGUCCAGACGCCUACGGGAGGCAGCAGAAGGGAAUCGUCGGCAAUGGGCGAAAGCCUGACGGAGCAGCGCCGCGUGAGUGAUGAAGGUCUUGGGUUCGUAAAACUCUGUUAUGAGGGAAAAACAGAUGUGGAAGUAAAUGUGCACAGCUUGACGGUACCUAAUAAGAAAGCCACGGCUAACUACGUG
rnacentral:rRNA from 1 species